rnacentral:rRNA from 1 species
GAGACCUCAGAACASACRAGACGACCCGCCGGACUUAAGCAU